AUACAAGCAGAAAUAGCGAGAGAAAAGAACAAUCUAGAGAACCUGAGAGAGGAGAAUGAGCGGACACUGAAGGAGAUCAAAAAGGAGAGAGACACACUUGAGAAAAUAAAUGUACUCAUUUUACAGCAAAAAGAUGAUUUUGAGAAUGAGAAGGAGGAAAUAAAGCAGAGAGAAAAUGAACUGCAGCAAAUGCAGGCUGAUCUUAACAGACAACAAAAAGAAGUGCAGGAUAUUCAGAAUAUAGUUUUAAUGCAAAAAAGUCAACUUCAGAAAAGCCAUGAUGAAAUAGCCGAAAAGCUAAAACAGGCGGAAGCCAUCAGGCAGUUCACACAAAAUGAAAAAGGCAAUCUUGACAGAGAAAGGGCAGCUAUAAUGGAACAGAAGCAGCAGAUGGAGAGUAACUUGACAGAUACAUUAAACAGAGAACUAGAAACUGUGGAGCUUGUGAAAAUAGAGGUACUAAAUGAGAAGCGACUUAUUGAGGACUGCAGAAUAGUUUUACUGAGAGAUAUAGAAGAUCUGGAGCAAGAAGAAAAUCAAGUUUGGGUAGUCGAGGCAGCAACAAGUAGCUGAAGAUACUGAGAAGCUAAGACAAGAUACACUAGCUGAAAGACAGAAGCUUAAAAACACUGCUGUGCAACUUCAGAAAGAGAGAGAUGCCAUUGUGAGCCUUUCAGAAGAGACAAAAAGACAGAUAGAGGAACUGGAUAAAAUGAAAGCUGAUGUUGAAAAGCAGGAAAAUGCAUUUGAGAUAUUGAAGGGCAUGAAAGCUGAUCUGCAAAAAGAAGCCGGUGUCAUUGAAAAUGUAAGACAAGCUGUUCAGAAUGACAUACAAAACGUAAAAGAUAUAGAAGCCAAAAUUCAGAAAGAAAGACAAUACACUGAUAGUCUAGGUGAAGAGAUUGAAAAGAGGUCCAAAGCUCUGGAUGAGAUGCACAUGGAGGUUGAAAAAGAAAAGCGAUAUGUUGAGUCUGAGAGAGAUGUGCUAGAACAGGAAAAGUCUAAGCUCAGAGAUCUCAAAGAUGAAUUUGCUCAGCAAAAAGAACAGAACAUUAUUAUACUGGCAGAUAUAGAGAAAGAAAGAGACAAUCUUACCCAGAUGAGUGAAACCAUCUCAAAUCAAAGGUGCAUCGUUGAAAGUGAUAAAGAAAAUUUAAGACAGAGAGAAAAUGAACUGAAACAAAAAGAAGCAGAGGUUGAAAACAAACAAAAACAAAUAGAUGAGUUAAAGAGCAGUUUAAGAAUGGAAAAGAUGCAAGUUGAGCAGAUGCAAGCUGACCAAGAUCAACAAUGGACAGUUGCACAUGAAAAAAUAGAAUAUGUUAAGACUGCAAGAGAUAGAGACGCGACAGACCUGGAGAAAGAGAGACAGGAAAUGGAGAAUUUGAGAGAAGAACUGAGGGUGGCAUAUGAAAAUGUGGAGCUCCAAAAGAGAUAUUUAAUUGAGCAAAAAGAAGUAUUUGAAAGCCGGAUGAAAUCACUAGAAAUGGAUGAGGAAGACAUAGAGAAAAAUAAAGCCAAACUGCACAAAGAAUUUGAAAACUUGCAGUUUCAGAGGCAAUCGUUUGAGAAAGAGAUACAGCAGGUAAGAGCUGACCUUCAGAAAGAGGCUGACAAUACUGAGAGACUAAAGAAAGAGGUGGUAGCUGAAAAGCAGAGUAUAAAAGACAUGGCAGCUCAAAUUCAACAUGAGGGAAAUUACAGAAAAGAAGCUCUAGAGAGGAUGCGCCUUGAGCUAGAAAAACAAAAGCAAGACAUUGAGACUGAAAAAGAUACAUUAGAAACCCAGAAGUUUGAAGUGGAGAAAAGCAAAAGAGACAUAGCGAGAGCAAAAGACGAUCUUGCUGAAAAGAGAAAAAUGAAUGAUAUUGAUCGGUUAGAGAUGGAGAAGCAGAGAAAUUCCCUUGAGCAAAUGAAGAUGAACAUUUCACAAGAGGAACAUGGUAUUAAAAUAGUGAAGGAAAGUUUGAGACACCAAGAAAAUGACCUGAAUAUACAAACAUCACAACUUCAUGCACAACAGAAAGAAAUAGAAGAGAUUCAGGAUGUUAUCAUGAAAGAAAAGAGUCAGCUUAAUGAAAGACAGGCUGAAAUGGAAAAGCAAAAGAGAGAAUUAGAGAGUGUGAUGGACAGACUUGAAAAAGAGAGGACUAAUGUAAUGGAAGAAAGACAAAGAGUGAAUGGCAUUGCAGUAGAACUGAAGAGGGAAAGUGAAACAGUGGAGCUGAUGAAGCAAGAAGUUCUCCACGAAAAAGAAUCUAUUGAAAACAGCAGGCAAAUACUGAACAAAGAUCUGGAGGAUAUAAAAGAAAAUAGAACCAUCUUAGCUGAGGAGUUUGAGACCUUAAACUACCAGAAACAAUUGACUGGCAAAGAAAAGCAGGAAUUUGAUAAGAUGAAAAAUGAGUUCCAACAAGAAAAGGAAAUUAUUGCUAAACUAAGGCAAGACAUAGAAAAUGGCAGGCAGAAGGCUGAGGAAAUGGCGAUCAUCCUUCAAAAAAGAGAAGGAAGAUAUAGAGAUUUCUUUUGCCAGAAUAAGAUCAGAGGAAGGAGAUCUAAGAAAACUAAAGCAGAGAUAGCCAGAGUCAAAGAAGAUCUUGAGAACCAAAUUGAAUCACAUAAAAGACAAAAUGAGCUAACACUGGCAGAGAUACAGAAGGAGAAACACAUUCUUGAGCAGUUAAGGAUGAACAUAUCACAACAGAGAGAUGAUCUAGAAAACGACAUUGAACAAACAAGAUACCAACAAGCGGAGCUGCAAAGUCUAAAAAUGGAAAUUCAGAAAGAGCAAACAGAGAUAGAUGAGCAGAAGGUGAUGACAGAUAUAGCAAGAGCGAAGGAGGAUCUUGAAACCCAGCUCGUUGAAGAAAGAGAAAAGAACAAGAUCACACUAGCAGAAAUACAGAAAGAAAAAGACAUGCUUCUUUUACUGAGAGAUAGUAUUUCAGAGCAACAGGACAACAUUGCAAAUGAGAAACAACAAAUGAGUAUGAGACAGACUGAACUUGAACAACUCCAAGCUCUAAUUUAUAGGCAGCAAGAUGAAAUGGAAGCCUCACGAAAAGCUCUCACAAUGGAAAAAGACAGACUUGAAAAGAAGAAAACUGAAAUAGAUCAAAAACAGAGAAAGGUAAAUGAAGUCAUGGCAUUUACAACAGGAGAAAGGGCUUAUAUUGAAAAAGAGAAGUCUGAAAUGCUAACACAGAAACACCAAAUGGAGACUGAACUGGAGCUCUUGAAGGCAGAACUGAAUAAUGACAUAAAUGAAAAAAGAGCAGCCCUAGACAGAGAGAUAAAGGAGCUUCAAUAUCAUAAAAAAGCUAUUCGAAAUGAGAAGGAUGACGUAGAACAGAUGAAGAUUGAGCUGCAAAGACAAACUGAAGAUAUGAGAAGGCUAAAAGAAGAAACACAAAAUGAGAGACAGAGUUUGGAAAAGAUGGCUGAAAAACUUCAGAAGGAGAAAGAAGAUAUUGUUCAUCUUGCUGAAGAUACAAAGAGAAAGAAUGAGAUUCUUGAUGAAAUGAAAGUAUUACAUGAGUCCACAUUAGAAAAUCUGCAAAAAGAGAUCAAGGGAAAAACAGGACCUGAUGUCUGAGCUGAGAAAGAAGUCUGAAGAUGUUGAGCUUCAGAUGAAGCAGAUAUUGACUGAAAGGGAAAUGUUGGAAAAUGAUAGACAACUGUUAAAGAGAGACAAGGAAGAUCUGCAACAAAAAAUAAUUAAUGUAGACAGAGACUCAGAGAGUCUGAAACAUGAGAGAGAAGCUUUGGAGAAUGAGAAGGAAGUAAUAAAAAAGAUCAAAACUGACCUGCAAAGAGAGACACAAGAGUUCGAGAAGAUCAAACUACAAACACAAGAUGAAAGACAAAAACUGGAGGAAAUGACAGCUCAACUCCAGAAAGAGAGAGAAGAAAUCAAUGAUCUUACUGAGAAGAACAAAGUGAAAGAUAUGGUCUUGGAUGAAAUGAACAAAGAAAUUCAAGUUAAAAUGAAAGAAAUUCAAUUUGAUAGAGACAUGAUUGAGAAUGAAAUGCACGAUCUUGAGAAAAUCAAAAGGAAACUUGCUAAAGCAAAGGAGGAUCUUGAAAAAGAAAGAGAAAAGCAAGGAAUCAUACUAGCAGAGAUUCAAGAAGAGAAAGACAACCUAGAGGAGAAGAAGGAGACCAUCACAGAACAACACGUUAUUAGAAAAUCAAGGAUAGAGACAUGAUUGAGAAUGAAAUGCACGAUCUUGAGAAAAUCAAAAGGAAACUUAGCUAAAGCAAAGGAGGAUCUUGAAAAAGAAAGAGAAAAGCAAGGAAUCAUACUAGCAGAGAUUCAGAAAGAGAAAGACAACCUAGAGGAGAAGAAGGAGACCAUCACAAGACAAACACGUUAUUUGAAAAAUCAAGAGGAACAAAUGAGACAAAAACAACAUGAACUCGAACAAUUGAAAACUGAAAUUCAGAAUCAGAAACAGGAACUAGACAAUGACAGAAAUAUUAUAAUAAAAGACAGAAGUCAGCUUGAUCUGAGACAGUCUGAGCUAGACAAACAACAGACAGAAGUGAGUCACAUUAUGGA
rnacentral:lncRNA from 1 species